rnacentral:rRNA from 1 species
UAAUACAGAGGGUGCAAGCGUUAAUCGGAAUUACUGGGCGUAAAGCGUGCGUAGACGGUUAUGUAAGUCAGAUGUGAAAGCCCCGGGCUCAACCUGGGAAUUGCAUUUGAGACUGCAUAGCUAGGGUGCGGAAGAGGGAAGCGGAAUUUCCGGUGUAGCGGUGAAAUGCGUAGAUAUCGGAAGGAACACCAGUGGCGAAAGCGGCUUCCUGGUCCAGCACCGACGUUCAGGCACGAAAGCGUGGGGAGCAAACAGGAUUAGAUACCCUGGUAGUCCACGCCAUAAACGAUGAGAACUAGACGUUGAGAGGGUAAGCCUCCCAGUGUCGCAGCUAACGCGAUAAGUUCUCCGCCUGGGGAGUACGGCCGCAAGGUUG